rnacentral:rRNA from 1 species
CCUACGGGACGCAGCAGUGAGGAAUAUUGGUCAAUGGGCUAAGGCCUGAACCAGCCAAGUCGCGUGAGGGAAGACGGUCCUAUGGAUUGUAAACCUCUUUUGUCGGGGAGCAACGAGACCACGUGUGGCCGAAGUGAGAGUACCCGAAGAAAAAGCAUCGGCUAACUCCGUGCCAGCAGCCGCGGUAAUACGGAGGAUGCGAGCGUUAUCCGGAUUUAUUGGGUUUAAAGGGUGCGCAGGCGGAUUUUUAAGUCAGCGGUCAAAUCGUGGGGCUCAACCUCAUCCAGCCGUUGAAACUGGGGAUC